CCUACGGGAGGCUGCAGUGGGGAAUAUUGGUCAAUGGGGGGAACCCUGAACCAGCGACGCCGCGUGAGUGAAGAAGUAUUUCGGUAUGUAAAGCCCUAUCAGCAGGGGAGAAAAUGACGGUACCUGACUAAGAAGCCCCGGCUAACUACGUGCCAGCAGCCGCGGUAAUACGUCGGGGGCAAGCGUUACCCGGAUUUUCUGGGUGUAAAGGGAGCGUAGACGGGGCAGCAAGUCUGGUGUGAAAGGUCGGGGGCCAACCCCCGGACUGCUCUGGAAACUAUGUGACUGGAGUGCAGGAGAGGUGAGCGGAAUUCCUAGUGUAGCGGUGAAAUGCGUAGAUAUUAAGAGGAACACCAGUGGCGAAGGCGGCCUGCUGGGCUUUUACUGACGCUGAGGCUCGAAAGCGUGGGUAGCAAACAGGAUUAGAUACCCGAGUAGUC
rnacentral:rRNA from 1 species